UACGAAGGGGGCUAGCGUUGCUCGGAAUCACUGGGCGUAAAGCGCACGUAGGCGGACUCUUAAGUCAGGGGUGAAGUCCUGGAGCUCAACUCCAGAACUGCCUUUGAUACUGGCGAUCUCGAGUCCGGGAGAGGUGAGUGGAACUGCGAGUGUAGAGGUGAAAUUCGUAGAUAUUCGCAAGAACACCAGUGGCGAAGGCGGCUCACUGGCCCGGUACUGACGCUGAGGUGCGAAAGCGUGGGGAGCAAACAGG
rnacentral:rRNA from 1 species